rnacentral:lncRNA from 1 species
AGAACAACGAGAAAGAGAAUAUAAUAAGAUUAGGGCCAGAAUAUUUUCGAAUUUCAACAAAAACAAAAAUAAUACGAAUUUAAUGAAUAACGUAAACGAACAUAACAACUAUAACAAUAUGUUAAAUUAUGCUGCAGGUUUUAAUAAUGUAUAUAAUACAACUUCUGAAACAUAUGCAUACUUUAAUAAAUACUAUAGUAUGCCUACCAACAGUAUAUAUAAUACGUUUUAUGUUCAUAAUAACAGCACUAAUGUAAUUAAUAAUACUAAUCAGACGAGAAGUGCAAGUAAUCUAAAUAUAACUUGUGGCGCUACUAAUAAUAAUACUAACAUGAAUACUAACAUGAAUACUAACAUGAAUACUAACAUGAACACUAGCAUAAACACUAACAUGAACAAUAACAUGAAUAGUAAUAAUAAUAGUGGUGGUGGUAAUAAUAACAUGAUUAUGUGCAAUAUGAAUAUUAUGAAUGACAUAUCUACAACAACAUAUUUAUAUCCCAAACCUAAUCAAUCCAAUAUCCAAAAUGUAGUUGCAGCUCCAAAUAACGAAAAUACCAAUACUGUAUAUCAAAAUUAUUUAUAUAAUUUAUCUAACUUACAAUGUAUGGCACAAAACAAUAAUACUCUUUUUCCUUAUGCUGCUGAUAUGUCGAAUACGAAUUAUUUUAAUAAGAAUAACAAUUUUAUGUUAAACCCUAACAUUAUUAACAACAUGAACGGUGGUAUUAAUAGCAGUAUGAAUAGUUGCAUUAAUACCAGUAUGAAUACCGGAAUGAAUAAGCAUAUCAACAAAAAUGCAAUCCAUUUUGAUUAUACAAAUAAUAUCAAUGUAAAUAAUACGAUAGCACCAUUUAAAAAUAAAGGCAGGUAUUAUAAUUACAGGUCAAUCGGUAAAUAUCAAAAUAAAAAUUAUGAGAAUAAUGUAUAUAUAAAACCAUACUCUCCUAAUAAUAAUGAUAACAAGAGCCAUACAAAUAUGAACUAUACAGAUAAUACUAAUAAUAGUAUUGGUAACAUUACCAAUUAUAAUAACAUUAAUAAUGGUAUCAGCUAUAACGAAAAUAACACUAUUAGUACUAUAAAUAAUAAUAAUAAUAAUAAUAAUAACAAUAAUUAUAAUAAUAAUAAUAAUAAUAAUAAUUAUAAUAAUAACAAUAAUAAUAAUUAUAAUAAUAACAAUAAUAAUAAUUAUAAUAGUAACAAUAAUAAUAACAUUAAUAAUAAAAAAUUAAAAAAAAAUAUAAAUAAUAGUAGUAGUAAUACCAACGGUAAUAAAACAAAUAUAAAUAAUUAUAUCGCGCAACCAAGUAAUACAAAAGAAAAUAAUUUUAUUUUUAAUAUAAAUGCUUUACCAAUAAAUGCUAAUUUAACUAAACAAAAGAACGACAAAGCAUCUAGUUAUAUAAAUAUAAACUCGGUGUGUGUAGAACCUAAAACAGUUUGUAUAGAAUCCGUACAAGUUAAUAUAAACCAAAUCGACAGUUACCAUACAAACAGUUUAGUAGAUACACCCCAAUAUACAGAACAUUCAAAAAAUUCAUUAAAAGAUAAUAACAAAUUGAAUAAAAAAAAAAAAAAAUAUAUGAACAUAGAUGAUUGUGAUUACACAGAUGAUGGUAGACACUCUGAGGAGUGUCCUGAAAUUAUAUACCAAAGACAUAAUUCAAAUUCGACUGACAAUAAAAACAACGUUAAUAACAAACGAGAGGACGAAAUAAAUAUAAAAAGAAAUGAAAAUAUAUUUACAGAUAACAAUUAUACACAACAAUGUAACUUUCUAAAAAAUGAUAUCAUGAUUAACGAAAAUAAAAAUGAAAAAAAUCAUAUAAAUAAUUUUAAUGAUCAUCAUCAUAGUCAUGGCCAUGAUCAAAAAAACUUACAUAAUGAUGUUGUUAAUGCUAAAAUUAAUCAAAUUAAAAAUAUAUACAAUGAAACAAACAUGAAUAAUAAAAAAAUGAAUAAUAAAAAAAUGGAAAAUAAAAAAAUGGAAAAUAAAAAAAUGGAUAAUAAAAAAAUGGAUAAUAAAAAAAUGGAUAAUUCUAUCCAAAGUGACACUGCUCAAACAAACAAUGAAUUAAGUAACAAUUUAUUAGACUUAUGUCAAAUCAAAAAUGAGCAAAACUGUAACAAUACCAAUAAUGUUAAUAGUAUUUGUGAUAGUGACAGUAGCAGUAAUAGCAAACGCUAUAGUAAUGAAAAUGAACUUAAUUUAAAAAAAAAAAAAAAAAAAAAAAAAAUGCAUACAUAUG